AGUUCUAUCAUAGGCGACAGUUUCCAGACGAACGUGCGGCGCAUUCGACGCUCAGGUAUCGCCAACCUACGGAAGGAGACCCAAGGAGCCCUAGGAAAAGCAUCGCAACACAUUCGCAAAACCAGCAAAGGAUUACUCGUCCAAGCUCCUGGACUUGGUCUGAAUACACUAGGGAGUUUGAGUCAAACGGUUCCUGAUUUGUCGUCCGCGUCAAACGGCCUCCUGAGUCAGACAGCACCAGGCCUGAAUCAGGUUUCCCAGAGGUCGAAGAGC